UACGGAGGAUCCAAGCGUUAUCCGGAUUUAUUGGGUUUAAAGGGUGCGUAGGUGGGAUGAUAAGUCAGAGGUGAAAGCUAGCAGCUUAACUGUUAAAUUGCCUUUGAUACUGUUAUUCUUGAGUAUAGUUGGCGUUGGCGGAAUGUGACAUGUAGCGGUGAAAUGCGUAGAUAUGUCACAGAACACCGAUCGCGAAGGCAGCUAACGAAGCUAUCACUGACACUGAUGCACGAAAGCGUGGGGAGCAAACAGG
rnacentral:rRNA from 1 species